rnacentral:rRNA from 1 species
AUACGUAGGGUGCGAGCGUUGUCCGGAAUUACUGGGCGUAAAGAGCUCGUAGGUGGUUUGUCGCGUCGUCUGUGAAAUUCCGGGGCUUAACUCCGGGCGUGCAGGCGAUACGGGCAUAACUUGAGUACUGUAGGGGAGACUGGAAUUCCUGGUGUAGCGGUGAAAUGCGCAGAUAUCAGGAAGAACACCGGUGGCGAAGGCGGGUCCUGGGGGAGUAACUGACGCGGAGGAGCGAAAGCGUGGGUGGCGAACAGGAUUAGAUACCCUGGUACCCCAUGCCGUAAACGGUGGGUGCACGGGGUAGGGGCCUGCCACGACUUCUGUGCCGUAGCUAACGCAUUAAGCUCCCCGCCUGGGGAGUACGGCCGCAAGGCUAAAACUCAAAGGAAUUGCCGGGG